GACGAACGCUGGCGGCGUGCUUAACACAUGCAAGUCGAACGGAAAGGCCCUGCUUUUGUGGUGUGCUCGAGUGGCGAACGGGUGAGUAACACGUGAGUAACCUGCCCUUGACUUUGGGAUAACUUCAGGAAACUGGGGCUAAUACCGUAUAGGAGCUCCUGCUGCAUGGUGGGGGUUGGAAAGUUUCGGCGGUUGGGGAUGGACUCGCGGCUUAUCAGCUUGUUGGUGGGGUAGUGGCUUACCAAGGCUUUGACGGGUAGCCGGCCUGAGAGGGUGACCGGCAACAGUGGGACUGAGAUACGGCCCAGCCUCCUACGGGAGGCAGCAGUGGGGAAUAUUGCACAAUGGGAGGAAGCCUGAUGCAGCAACGCCGCGUGCGGGAUGACGGCCUUCGGGUUGUAAACCGCUUUCGCCUGUGACGAAGCGUGAGUGACGGUAAUGGGUAAAGAAGCACCGGCUAACUACGUG
rnacentral:rRNA from 1 species